AGAGUAGAGAGAAGGCAGGAGAGCUGUGGCUGCACAAAAGCAAAAACAUGGCAUGAGAAAAUGCGAAUAAUUACACUUUCAUCAGUUUAGUAGGAGGAAGAUCAAAGGGGCAGUCUGUAGGUUUCAUAGAAUUAACUAUUUUGUUCAGAAGAGAGUAAGACUCUGGUUCAAACUGCUCAAUUACAGCAGAAUAAGCAAUUCCGCCUUUCUGCGUUGACACCAGACUUCCUAUGUUGUCCUGCUGUUCAGCCAACGCUCAGCUCUGGGUUGGAAACGUUUGAAUUUAACAGGGGCAACACAGUCCAGGAUCUCAGGUCAAGCCUUGUAAAAGGAGGAGAGAAAAUUGACCUACUGAUGAGUGAAACUGAGUCCAUGAAAUCAGCAGUAAACUGUUCAGCAGUGGUUGAGUUUGGAGUGAAGCCUCACACAUGGAGCUAGUUUGGGUCAUCAACCUGGGAGGAUGGAUGAUUACACACAUCUACUUGCUUCCCUCCGAAUUUGAGAAUUCUCCACAAAGCUACGAACCCUGGACCAGAACCCGGAGAGAGAACUAUUGCCUUAUUUA